rnacentral:rRNA from 1 species
UAGGAAACGGCUGGUAAGACCGCAUAAGUCGGUUAAAUCGCAUGAUUUGAUCGGGAAAUGAGCAAUCAGGUAUAGGAUGGGCCCGCGUCCGAUUAGCCAGUUGGCAGGGUAAAAGCCUACCAAAGCAACGAUCGGUAGCCGGACUGAGAGGUCGGACGGCCACAUUGGGACUGAGACACGGCCCAA